UACAGAGGUCUCAAGCGUUGUUCGGAUUCAUUGGGCGUAAAGGGUGCGUAGGCGGCGAGGUAAGUCGGAUGUGAAAUCCCGGGGCUCAACCCCGGAACUGCAUUCGAUACUGCUUUGCUUGAGUACUGGAGAGGAGACUGGAAUUUACGGUGUAGCAGUGAAAUGCGUAGAUAUCGGGAGAAACACCGGUGGCGAAGGCGGUUCUCUGGGCCUUACCUGACGCUGGAGGAGCGAAAGCGUGGGGAGCGAACAGG
rnacentral:rRNA from 1 species